CCUAAUUGUAAAGUCAACAGUUAGUGAAUAACUAAUCAGAGUAUCGCAGCGGAAGUGUGGAAGGAAGUGAAUGAUAAGGUUUGAACAAGGAUUGGUUAAGUGAUAUUAGAAGAUUAUGAAAAUUCGAGGACGAAUUUUUAUAAGGGGGGAAGAUUGUAAUAACCUAAAUUUUUGAGGUAUUACGUGUAGUGCCACGAGGCAUAAUCGUAAAGAUUAAGAACGAUAAUAUCAGAUUAGGAUUGGAUAAUAAGGACUUAGACCGAAGCGGGUCUAUUGGAAUUAUCGUAGAAUAAUAAUUUAAAUGGAAAAUUAUUAUGCGAAAAUUGGAUUUAAUCAAGACAAAAAGGGAAUAAAAUAAAAUAAUUUGAAAAGCCAGAGUUAAUAAUAUUCACGUCAAGGUCCGUGAAAUAUUAUUAAUAAAUGAUCGUCAAGUUUCGUAAGUAUACAAAAUCGUUUUAGAAGAAAGUUUGACGAUUAGUUAAGAAUAAGGGUUAAAGUGCAAAUUAGCCACUUUAAGGACUAAAGUGGACUUUUAACCACAAACUUCCGGAGGAAGUUGUGUUUUACUCUAUUUUCUCAAGAUAAGAAAAUAAUAUCGGUAAAGUUGUUAUUGAUAGUCAUUAAAAUGAAAAUUGGACGAAAAAGUGAGAAAAAGUGCAAGUUAGCUCAAAAUGGAAAUUUGAGCGUUUUUGGCCAAAAUUGCCAAAAUAAAUUGUUGGAGGGUGAUAUUAUAAGGUAUGAUACUAUUGUUAUUUAUUUGGGAAAUAAAUAAUACGGAAUUUAUCGAGAAUCGAAUGAUUAAAGGAUUAGUGGACUAAAUUGGACGAAAUAAAAGUUAUAAAGUGAAAGUUGAGGAGGUGACAAACUCAAGGACUAAAGGAGACUUUUGCCUCACCUAUUUAAGACACUUGCAUAUGAGUUUAAACUCAGCAAGCAUAUCAUUUUCAGCUCCUAAAAUUCGUCCUUCACCCUUUCUCCAUGGAAGAACAUCAAGCAAAUUUCAAAUGGUCAUAACUCACUCAAUUUUGGUCCGAAUUGAGCGAUUCUUGUGGCCACGGAACGAGGGAAGGAUCCUCUACUGAUAUAUAGUAUCAAUUUAAGGUUAUUGAAAGCUUGAAGGGAGUAUUUUGAUGGUUGUUCAUGGAGGAAUUCAUUCAACCAAAGGGUUAUCCCAUCAAGAAAAGGGAUGGUAUGAUAUGAUUUGAAGAGUUAAGCUUCCGAAGUUUUAAUUCUCGGAAGUCAUUUGUAUAAGAAGAAAAAGAAGGUUUUCAUUCUAGCGGUCCGCAGUAGUCUAGAUAUUUUAACUAGAAUUUUGUAUAACGCGUUUUUAACUCUGAUAUUAUUUGUAAAUGGGGUCACACGUAUUUUAAUAUAUGAAAUAUGUUUUGAUUUGCGAAAAAAAUUUACACAGGUUUUUAGGCUUGCUACGGGAUUUGGAGCUACCACUCCCAUUCCCUAGCGCCGGUCGCGGCUCAUAAAUUUGGGUCGUGACAAAGUUGGUAUCAGAGCAAUGGUUUAGAAUUCCUAGGCCAUUGUUCUUUUAUGAUUGAAGUAUAGGAAAGUGUCGAUCAAUAUAUAGGAACUACUGCGGAUUAUAGGGAUUUCCAGUCAUGUCUUUUGAACGUUAUCAAUGUUUUCAUCGAUUUUUCAAA